CGGGCUCAUAACCCGAAGGUCGUAGGUUCGAAUCCUGCCCCCGCUACCA
rnacentral:tRNA from 1 species